rnacentral:rRNA from 1 species
UUGCUACUGGACCUAGCGGCGGACGGGUGAGUAAUGCUUAGGAAUCUGCCUAUUAGUGGGGGACAACAUCUCGAAAGGGAUGCUAAUACCGCAUACGUCCUACGGGAGAAAGCAGGGGAUCUUCGGACCUUGCGCUAAUAGAUGAGCCUAAGUCGGAUUAGCUAGUUGGUGGGGUAAAGGCCUACCAAGGCGACGAUCUGUAGCGGGUCUGAGAGGAUGAUCCGCCACACUGGGACUGAGACACGGCCCAGACUCCUACGGGAGGCAGCAGUGGGGAAUAUUGGACAAUGGGGGGAACCCUGAUCCAGCCAUGCCGCGUGUGUGAAGAAGGCCUUAUGGUUGUAAAGCACUUUAAGCGAGGAGGAGGCUACUUUAGUUAAUACCUAGAGAUAGUGGACGUUACUCGCAGAAUAAGCACCGGCUAACUCUGUGCCAGCAGCCGCGGUAAUACAGAGGGUGCGAGCGUUAAUCGGAUUUACUGGGCGUAAAGCGUGCGUAGGCGGCUUAUUAAGUCGGAUGUGAAAUCCCCGAGCUUAACUUGGGAAUUGCAUUCGAUACUGGUGAGCUAGAGUAUGGGAGAGGAUGGUAGAAUUCCAGGUGUAGCGGGUGAAAUGCGUAGAGAUCUGGGAGGGAAUACC